GAGUUUGAUCGUGGCUCAGGAUGAACGCUGGCGGCGUGCCUAAUACAUGCAAGUCGAACGAACAGAUAAGGAGCUUGCUCCUUUGACGUUAGCGGCGGACGGGUGAGUAACACGUGGGUAACCUACCUAUAAGACUGGGAAUAACUCCGGGAAACCGGGGCUAAUGCCGGAUAACAUGUUGAACCGCAUGGUUCUACAGUGAAAGACGGUCUUGCUGUCACUUAUAGAUGGACCCGCGCCGUAUUAGCUAGUUGGUGGGGUAACGGCCUACCAAGGCGACGAUACGUAGCCGACCUGAGAGGGUGAUCGGCCACACUGGAACUGAGACACGGUCCAGACUCCUACGGGAGGCAGCAGUAGGGAAUCUUCCGCAAUGGGCGAAAGCCUGACGGAGCAACGCCGCGUGAGUGAUGAAGGUCUUCGGAUCGUAAAGCUCUGUUGUUAGGGAAGAACAAAUGUGUAAGUAACUGUGCAUAUCUUGACGGUACCUAACCAGAAAGCCACGGCUAACUACGUGCCAGCAGCCGCCGU
rnacentral:rRNA from 1 species